AUUUCGUGAUGAGGGCACUUCUGUAAUAAUUCUUUGUACAUAUCCCAUGCUUCAUACAAGGACUCAUCAUCCAGUUGUUGGAAAGCAGUGAUCUCGUUCCUCAACUU
rfam:Gossypium hirsutum cultivar TM-1 chromosome 1, whole genome shotgun sequence